CGCUAGCUCCUGGCUUAACACCUGCAAGUCGAGGGGCAGCGGGGUUGUCGCAAUACGACUGCCGGCGACCGGCGCACGGGUGAGUAACACGUAUCCAACCUUCCGGUUACUCGGGAAUAGCCUUUCGAAAGAAAGAUUAAUGCCCGAUGGUAUAACAAGUCUGCAUGGACUUGUUAUUAAAGAUUUAUCGGUAACCGAUGGGGAUGCGUUCCAUUAGGCAGUUGGCGGGGUAACGGCCCACCAAACCGACGAUGGAUAGGGGUUCUGAGAGGAAGGUCCCCCACAUUGGAACUGAGACACGGUCCAAACUCCUACGGGAGGCAGCAGUGAGGAAUAUUGGUCAAUGGGCGAGAGCCUGAACCAGCCAAGUAGCGUGAAGGAUGACUGCCCUAUGGGUUGUAAACUUCUUUUAUACGGGAAUAACAGGCGGCACGUGUGCCGUUCUGCAUGUACCGUAUGAAUAAGCAUCGGCUAACUCCGUGCCAGCAGCCGCGGUAAUACGGAGGAUGCGAGCGUUAUCCGGAUUUAUUGGGUUUAAAGGGAGCGCAGA
rnacentral:rRNA from 1 species